UGAAUACGAGAUGCUACGGCGUCGAAGCAGUCUAUGUCAUACUUCCAAGAAAAGCUUGCACUGUCAUAAACAAAUAAUGCCUGUACCAUAACCGACACAGGUGGGUAGGUAGAGUAUACUAAGGGGCGCGAGAUAACUCUCUCUAAGGAACUCGGCAAAAUGACUCCGUAACUUCGGGAGAAGGAGUGCCUUAUUUAUAAGGUUGCAAUAACAAGAUCCAAGCAACUGUUUACCAAAAACACAGGUCUCCGCUAAGUCGUAAGACGAUGUAUGGAGGCAGACGCCUGCCCAGUGCCAGAAGGUUAAAGAAGUUGGUUAGCAUCCGCGAAGCUAAUAACUGAAGCCCUGGUGAACGGCGGCCGUAACAAUAACGGUCCUAAGGUAGCGAAAUUCCUUGUCGGGUAAGUUCCGACCCGCACGAAAGGCGUAAUGAUUUGGAUACUGUCUCGGAGAGGGGCUCGGUGAAAUAGACUUGUCUGUGAAGAUGCGGACUACCUGCACCAGGACAGAAAGACCCUAUGAAGCUUUACUGUAACCUGAAAUUGAAAUUGGACUUUACUUGCGCAGUAUAGGUGGGAGGCGUUGAGAAUAUUCUUGCGGGAUUAUUGGAGCCAUCAGUGAGAUACCACUCUUGUAAUGUUAGAUUUCUAACUUUGUAUCAUUAUCUGGUCAAAGAACAGUUUCAGGCGGGCAGUUUGACUGGGGCGGUCGCCUCCUAAACGGUAACGGAGGCGCACAAAGGUUUCCUCUGAACGGGUAGAAAUCGUAUCUAGAGUGUAAAGGCAUAAGGAAGCUUGACUGUGAGACCUACAAGUCGAGCAGGGACGAAAGUCGGUCUUAGUGAUCUGACGGUGCUGAGUGGAAAGGCCGUCACUCAACGGAUAAAAGUUACUCUAGGAUAACAGGCUGAUCUCCCCCUAGAGUUCACAUCGACGGGGAGGUUUGGCACCUCGAUGUCGGCUCAUCGCAUCCUGGGGCGGUAGUACGUCCCAAGGGUUGGGCUGUUCGCCCAUGAAAGCGGUACGCGAGCUGGGUUCAGAACGUCGUGAGACAGUUCGGUCCAUAUCCGGUGUAGGCGUUAGAAUAUUGAGAGGAGCCUUCUUUAGUACGAGAGGACCGAGAAGGACAUACCUCUGGUGUACCAGUUAUCGUGCCAACGGUAAACGCUGGGUAGCUAUGUGUGGAGUGGAUAACCGCUGAAAGCAUCUAAGUGGGAAGCCCACCUCAAGAUAAGUAUUCUCAU
rnacentral:rRNA from 1 species